rnacentral:rRNA from 1 species
UACGUAGGGGGCGAGCGUUUGUCCGGAUUUAUUGGGCGUAAAGAGCUCGUAGGCGGCGCGGUAAGUCGGGUGUGAAAUCUCGGGGCUUAACUCCGAAACUGCAUUCGAUACUGCCGUGCUUGAGGACUGGAGAGGAGACUGGAAUUUACGGUGUAGCGGUGAAAUGCGUAGAUAUCGUAAGGAAGACCAGUGGCGAAGGCGGGUCUCUGGACAGUUCCUGACGCUGAGGCACGAAGGCCAGGGGAGCAAACGGGG